AGGACGAACGCUGGCGGCGUGCUUAACACAUGCAAGUCGAGCGGUAAGGCCCUUUCGGGGGUACACGAGCGGCGAACGGGUGAGUAACACGUGGGUGACCUGCCCUUAGCUCUGGGAUAAGCCUGGGAAACUGGGUCUAAUACCGGAUAUGACCUCGCGAUGCAUGUCGUGGGGUGGAAAGCCUUGUGCGGCUAGGGAUGGGCCCGCGGCCUAUCAGCUUGUUGGUGGGGUGAUGGCCUACCAAGGCGACGACGGGUAGCCGGCCUGAGAGGGCGACCGGCCACACUGGGACUGAGACACGGCCCAGACUCCUACGGGAGGCAGCAGUGGGGAAUCUUGCGCAAUGGGCGAAAGCCUGACGCAGCGACGCCGCGUGAGGGAUGACGGUCUUCGGGUUGUAAACCUCUUUCAGCCCUGACGAAGCGAAGUGACGGUAGGGCAGAAGAGCGACCGGCCAACUACGCGCCAGCAGCCGCGGUAA
rnacentral:rRNA from 1 species